GUCUAUGGUCAUACCAACCUGAACAUACCCAAUCUUGUCUAAUGUUGGAAGCUAAACAGGGUUGGGGCUGGUUAGUGCUCAGAAGGGCACCAAUACAGAGUGGCUGGGUAUAAUAAAUG
rnacentral:rRNA from 1 species